GCUGGUAGAUCAAGUUUGGUCUGCAGAGAUGAGGUUGGAACAGAGAUCAUAGGGAUAUGGUUGCCGUUGAAAGCUAAGAGUACCUGGGUAAGGAUGCAGAGGUAUAACUAAAACCUGGAUAUUAUGUAUAAAACAAAUAUAAGAAGACUCUGUAGAGACAAGAGGCAGGGACUAGGACCUGAGGAAUGACAUGAUGCAAAUGUCUGCAUGAAAAUAAAGAAGAAAAAUACGUCAGGGUGGGAGAGAAGUAUGUGAUGGAGGUGUGUAAGACGAAGUUAUUUCUGGAGUUUUUGCAAACUUCAUGGCUAAGGAGGCUUAUCCUCCCAUCAAAAGGAUAUGUGGUGCUGCAAAGCUGGGAGUCAUCCCUGAAGUCUCUCCUUCCUUCCUACCCACAGCACUCUGUCAGGGUAAAAACAAAAGUGGUAUGGAUGUUAAAAUGUCAACAACUACCACAGAAUGUCAAUGUCGGAAUGUCAGGAAUCACUGCAGAUGCCUCCAUCUGGUUGCUCGAAUUUCUUUCCUCCAGCGUUGUACAUACUGCCACGUUUAAAUGUAGAAAGAGACAAGGAGAGAAGGAAUACAAGCCGAUGGAAGUGGGAGAGGGGAGCUGGAUGUGGGGCUCGAUCCCAGGACCUCAGGAUCAUGACCUGAGCUGAACGCAGAUGCUUAAGAACUGACCCACCCAGGUGCCCCUAAAUUUUACUUUUUGAAAGACAAAGAAGGAAGCUGUUGCCUCCACCUGCCUCCCAAUACCCCAUUCAGAUAGACAAAGGUGCGGACAGUUCCCCGCCUCUUCUCAUCCAAGUGCAAGAAAACUUUCUCUCAGUUCUUUUCUCUUAAAUAAUAACCAUAAGUUUUUGGAGAAGUCAAUCAGUUCAAAAUAUAUGACAUUAAAAAGGAAGAGUAAUGACACAAACCUCACAGCGCAGUCCGGAAUGAUAAAUUAGAACAAAUCACGGCUGUUUGCUGGAUUUAAACCAACUAGGGCGAAAGUUCAGCUGCACAGGGCCAGUGUGAAGAUGUGUGCCAUCCCCGAUUAAGAGCUGGAACCAUCGUGCACCGAGCCUCCUGCCGCCCAGCCCAGCCGCUUGCUUGCUUGCUUGCUUGCGUAGAUUUGGCGAGGGUCCAGGGGAGAAAGUGGGGAGAGGGAAAAAAUGCCCAGUUUUCGUUCUCAAGUCUCCUGAAAGGAAAAGACAUGUCUGGACUUGUUUUAAAAGGCUUGGAGAAAUGCCUCGCACAUGACAAAUGAAGAAGUUCUGGUCAGAGAAGCGGGAAAUUAAUCUAGGUCGUUCCCGGGAUCAUGGGCAGGAGGGGACAAGAAAAAAGACACCUUUGGUGAAGGUGUCUACGCACACAAACAUGAAAAGACGUGUGGCUAGAAAAAUGGGUCCCUGGAGACUUAGCUCUUCUUCUGUAAAGCUGGACACCUGCCUUCUCUAGGAGCCCUGGGGCCUCCCGUGCAGGUGUGCAUGUGUCAGCCCUUCUGUCCACGUGGUUUUAAAGUCAGUGGUUGUUGGACAAGGUAAUCCUGGUGCCAGGCCCUGAAUCGUGCAUUUUGCAGGCACUGUCUGGUGUAGUCCUCCUAGCUCCUAGUGACUCUUCAGCCCUGGUUGGUAGAGGAGAGCCCCGAGACCCAGAAAAGUUUUAAAAAUUUGCCCAAAGUCACAGACCUUGUCUAUUCAUCUCCUAGAACUUAAGCGCCACCCCACUUUCCUCCAAGCUAUCUGUAUUAUGGUUUAUUUUAUGCUUUUCCAAAAUUGUCUGUACUAUGCAGAAUGUGUGCAGAAAUCUUGCUGUAUGCCAUUCGCUCAAAAUUCAACAAGCCAUUCCUGAGAAUUAUUAGGUGCUAGGUUUGUGCUAAAUGGAGAUGAGAACGUAUUGCCUCUGCACUGAGUUAGCUCAUUGACUCAUUCAUUCAUUCAUUCAUUCAUUCAUUCACUCAUCUAUCCAGCAAACUUUUUUCCUAAGUACUUCCCAGGCACUGUACUAGCUGCUGGAAAUAAGAAACCCAAAGGAUACGUGUUUUGUGUGCCUAGUGAUAACAACAAGGGCACUAGUAUUAUCAUCAUCUUCGUUUUACAGGUGAGGACACUGAAACAGAGAUUUAAGAAACUCAGUCUCGCUGGAGUCGAGAUUGAGACACAGUUUAAAUACUGGACAGACUUGCGGGAAGAAGAUGCAACAAAAAAGCUUGGUAAUGCAGUGAAAUCCCUGAGAAUUAAUGUCAGUCCGUGGUUGCUGAGGCCAGCGGGAAUCGGUGACCAAAUACACCGGUCCCGAGGUGCAGGACAGCUGCCUGACCCUCAAAGGGGGCCCACGGCUCCUGGCAAAGCUAGGAGAGUUGUCAGAGUGUGGUGAGCUGGGUACUUAGGAGGCAGACAUGAAAUUAUUACACUAUCUUUCAGUUUCAUUUCAGAUAUCGGGGGUUGUUUCUGCAAUGACUAAAAUUGGGGUUGCAGGGAAGAGUGACUUUGGCUGCGUUUGGAGGGUCAGCUCAUCCUAGUAAGAAUCUUGAGGUGAUUAUUUCUCUAAUGAGAUUCAAAUGAAAGAUUUGUGUGUGUAUGUGUGUGUGUGGUGUAGUGUUCAUUCACUCAUGCCAUAGAUAUUUAUUCAACACCCACCAUGUGCCUAGACUCUGUUUUAGGCCUUCAUUCAGUGAACCAAAAUCAGAAAAAAUACCCUCGCCGCCAUGGAGCUUACAUCCUGGUGUGUAUGAUAGGCAGCGAAUAGACUGAGACAAGACCUAGGAAAGCGUAUUGCCGGUAAGGGAUUGGGAGGAGGAUGGGGUCCUCAGAGCCUGGAUUUAAGUAGAGUGGCCACACAGACCUCAUGGUAAUGCUUCAGGAAAGCCCUGAAGGAGGCAGAAGUAGUCAAUGACAAGGUCCUAAGGUAUGAGUUGCCCCAUGUGCAUAGGGAAUGAGCAGGAGGCCAGGGGGGCUAGAGAAGAGUAAGUGAGGUCAGACAGAAAAAGCCUGAUAGAGUCUUAGAGAAAAUUGUGAUGACUUUGGCUUUUCCUUUGAGUGAAAAGAGUG
rnacentral:lncRNA from 1 species